UGGCCAAACUACCCUUCGGAGCACCAUACCCUCGGGAAACUGAGGCUAAUAGUGCAUCCCGCACUCACCCUGGAAUGGCGAGUGCGUCAAACGCUCCGGCGCCGAAGGAUGUGGCUGCGGCCGAUUAGGUAGACGGUGGGGUAACGGCCCACCGUGCCGAUAUCGGUACGGGUCAUGAGAGUGAGAACCCGGAGACGGAAUCUGAGACAAGAUUCCGGGCCCUACGGGGCGCAGCAGGCGCGAAACCUUUACACUGCACGACAGUGCGAUAAGGGGAUCCCAAGUGCACAGGCAUAGAGCCUGUGCUUUUGUACACCCUAGGGAGGUGUCCGAAUAAGGGCUGGGCAAGACCGGUGCCAGCCGCCGCGGUAAUACCGGCAGCCCAAGUGAUGGCCGAUCUUAUUGGGCCUAAAGCGUCCGUAGCUGGCCGCGCAAGUCCAUCGGGAAAUCCACCUGCUCAACGGGUGGACGUCCGGUGGAAACUGCACGGCUUGGGACCGGAAGGCGCGACGGGUACGUCCCGGGGUAGGAGUGAAAUCCCGUAAUCCUGGACGGACCGCCGAUGGCGAAAGCACGUCGCGAGAACGGAUCCGACAGUGAGGGACGAAAGCUAGGGUCUCGAACCGGAUUAGAUACCCGGGUAGUCCUAGCCGUAAACAAUGCCUGCUAGGUGUGGCUCCCACUACGAGUGGGUGCUGUGCCGUAGGGAAGCCGCUAAGCAGGCCGCCUGGGGAAGUACGUCCGCAAGGAUGAAACUUAAAGGAAUUGGCGGGGGAGCACUACAACCGGAGGAGCCUGCGGUUUAAUUGGACUCAACGCCGGACAUCUCACCAGCAUCGACUGUGGUAAUGACGGUCAGGUUGAUGACCUCGCCACGAGCCACAGAGAGGAGGUGCAUGGCCGCCGUCAGCUCGUACCGUGAGGCGUCCUGUUAAGUCAGGCAACGAGCGAGACCCGCAUCCGUACUUGCCAGCAACACUGCGAAGUGGUUGGGGACAGUACGGAGACUGCCGUGGCCAACACGGAGGAAGGAACGGGCAACGGUAGGUCAGUAUGCCCCGAAUGUGCUGGGCAACACGCGGGCUACAAUGGUCAGGACAAAGGGUUCCUACUCCGAAAGGAGACGGUAAUCUCAGAAACUCGAUCGUAGUUCGGAUUGUGGGCUGUAACUCGCCCACAUGAAGCUGGAUUCGGUAGUAAUCGCGUGUCACAAGCGCGCGGUGAAUACGUCCCUGCUCCUUGCACACACCGCCCGUCAAAGCA
rnacentral:rRNA from 1 species